GCACCGCCUUGCGCAGCGGCUCGAGGUGCGUGGAGCCGCAGCCGUCGUUGAUGUUCAGCCCGUCGGGGCUGGCGUGGAUCGCGACCACGGUGGCGCC
rnacentral:tRNA from 1 species